rnacentral:misc_RNA from 1 species
GCAAUUUCAAUAAUCAUUCCAUCAAGGCAUUCAGCCUCUGCCAAACUUGGAAGCAACUAUCAGAAUAUUAUCCCUUUGAGUUGGUCUUCUCUGGAAUUAACAGUUAGGAGUUGACAGAUCUUUCAAGUCUUUUGGAUUAAGCAAUUUGACAUGCUUAUGUUUCAGACUUCAGGUUGAAUCAUCAUAGGAAAUUCCUGCAUUCUAAAGGUAUAAUUUAUGUCAGAAGUUGCACAGCACCAUGAGAACAAUGAUACUCCUAAUUUCUAGUUAUAAGCUUGUCGAUCCAGCCAAAAUAAGCCACUAAAUUGCACUUAAAAUUUGUUGUAGCCUUAUUGUUUUCAUGUAUAUAUAUGUCACCAAUAGUCUCCACGUGCACAGAUACCAUUCUUGAAGUAAUGAAAUCGCUUUGCAUCUCUUACCACAACUUCUCAAUCAACAAUCUUGCAAAUAAGCUUAAUGACCGUAUGACAGUCACCACAAACCCUAAGAUUUUUAAUGACAUGAAUUGUUGAUCCCGGAAAUGAAUUAAUGACCCAAAAGGCAACAUCGUAACUUCUCACUGUGAACUUGCAGAGCCAUUUCCUUUUCUUCCUCAUCAACACCAUAUUAGGUGCAUAGCCAGCUU